rnacentral:lncRNA from 1 species
UUAUGAUUCAUAUUUUCAAGUUUUUUUGAUUCUUCAUAUUUGAUAAAACUCACAAACUAAGGAAUUCAUAAAUUGAGAACUACCUAUAAUUUUAAAAUUUGAUAUUUAAAAAAUAUUAAUAUCUAACUUAUUUUGAAGCUUUUUCCUUAACUAAUUAAGCUGUUGUAACAGGAGCUAUUGCUAUGAAACAAUUUAAUGGCAGUGAUCCAACUAAUUGGCAUCCAAAAGAUGGAGUGAGUAUGUUUUUAUUAUGAUUUUAUUUAGAGAAAAUAGUUGUUGGAAAAUCCUGAACUUACAUAUUAUUUUAUUCAUUAGAAAAAAUUAUCAACAAACUUUUGAUAAUAUUCAAAAACAGUAUGAAUUAAAACCACUGUUGGUUACAAUUAUAAAUUAUAUAUUCAAACACAAAUUCUGUAAUAUCAUUGGAAGAAUUUCUAAAUAUUUAAAUUUACAUAAUUUGUAGCAUCAUUCAGUUGUAUUAGAGAUUAUUUGUUUGAAUAUAUGAAUAUUCUCAAGUUUGUGUACAUCUGACUUUAUGUAAAAUAUUUUCCAAAAAAUAUUUUUUGAAAUAUAGAUCAUGAACAUUUAUUGCAAUUUAAGUUAUGUCUGAACAUAUUCAUUUACAAC